GGUCCGGUAGUUCAGUUGGUUAGAACGCCGGCCUGUCACGCCGGAGGUCGCGAGUUCGAGUCUCGUCCGGACCG
rnacentral:tRNA from 1 species